rnacentral:rRNA from 1 species
UAGUGAACCAGUACCGUGAGGGAAAGGCGAAAAGAACCCCGGCGAGGGGAGUGAAAAAGAACCUGAAACCGUGUACGUACAAGCAGUGGGAGCCUCUUUAUGGGGUGACUGCGUACCUUUUGUAUAAUGGGUCAGCGACUUAUAUUCUGUAGCAAGGUUAACCGAAUAGGGGAGCCGAAGGGAAACCGAGUCUUAACUGGGCGUUAAGUUGCAGGGUAUAGACCCGAAACCCGGUGAUCUAGCCAUGGGCAGGUUGAAGGUUGGGUAACACUAACUGGAGGACCGAACCGACUAAUGUUGAAAAAUUAGCGGAUGACUUGUGGCUGGGGGUGAAAGGCCAAUCAAACCGGGAGAUAGCUGGUUCUCCCCGAAAGCUAUUUAGGUAGCGCCUCGUGAAUUCAUCUCCGGGGGUAGAGCACUGUUUCGGCAAGGGGGUCAUCCCGACUUACCAACCCGAUGCAAACUGCGAAUACCGGAGAAUGUUAUCACGGGAGACACACGGCGGGUGCUAACGUCCGUCGUGAAGAGGGAAACAACCCAGACCGCCAGCUAAGGUCCCAAAGUCAUGGUUAAGUGGGAAACGAUGUGGGAAGGCCCAGACAGCCAGGAUGUUGGCUUAGAAGCAGCCAUCAUUUAAAGAAAGCGUAAUAGCUCACUGGUCGAGUCGGCCUGCGCGGAAGAUGUAACGGGGCUAAACCAUGCACCGAAGCUGCGGCAGCGACACUAUGUGUUGUUGGGUAGGGGAGCGUUCUGUAAGCCUGUGAAGGUGGCCUGUGAGGGUUGCUGGAGGUAUCAGAAGUGCGAAUGCUGACAUAAGUAACGAUAAAGCGGGUGAAAAGCCCGCUCGCCGGAAGACCAAGGGUUCCUGUCCAACGUUAAUCGGGGCAGGGUGAGUCGACCCCUAAGGCGAGGCCGAAAGGCGUAGUCGAUGGGAAACAGGUUAAUAUUCCUGUACUUGGUGUUACUGCGAAGGGGGGACGGAGAAGGCUAUGUUGGCCGGGCGACGGUUGUCCCGGUUUAAGCGUGUAGGCUGGUUUUCCAGGCAAAUCCGGAAAACCAAGGCUGAGGCGUGAUGACGAGGCACUACGGUGCUGAAGCGACAAAUGCCCUGCUUCCAGGAAAAGCCUCUAAGCAUCAGGUAACAUCAAAUCGUACCCCAAACCGACACAGGUGGUCAGGUAGAGAAUACCAAGGCGCUUGAGAGAACUCGGGUGAAGGAACUAGGCAAAAUGGUGCCGUAACUUCGGGAGAAGGCACGCUGAUAUGUAGGUGAAGCGACUUGCUCGUGGAGCUGAAAUCAGUCGAAGAUACCAGCUGGCUGCAACUGUUUAUUAAAAACACAGCACUGUGCAAACACGAAAGUGGACGUAUACGGUGUGACGCCUGCCCGGUGCCGGAAGGUUAAUUGAUGGGGUUAGCGGUAACGCGAAGCUCUUGAUCGAAGCCCCGGUAAACGGCGGCCGUAACUAUAACGGUCCUAAGGUAGCGAAAUUCCUUGUCGGGUAAGUUCCGACCUGCACGAAUGGCGUAAUGAUGGCCAGGCUGUCUCCACCCGAGACUCAGUGAAAUUGAACUCGCUGUGAAGAUGCAGUGUACCCGCGGCAAGACGGAAAGACCCCGUGAACCUUUACUAUAGCUUGACACUGAACAUUGAGCCUUGAUGUGUAGGAUAGGUGGGAGGCUUUGAAGUGUGGACGCCAGUCUGCAUGGAGCCGACCUUGAAAUACCACCCUUUAAUGUUUGAUGUUCUAACGUUGGCCCGUAAUCCGGGUUGCGGACAGUGUCUGGUGGGUAGUUUGACUGGGGCGGUCUCCUCCUAAAGAGUAACGGAGGAGCACGAAGGUUGGCUAAUCCUGGUCGGACAUCAGGAGGUUAGUGCAAUGGCAUAAGCCAGCUUGACUGCGAGCGUGACGGCGCGAGCAGGUGCGAAAGCAGGUCAUAGUGAUCCGGUGGUUCUGAAUGGAAGGGCCAUCGCUCAACGGAUAAAAGGUACUCCGGGGAUAACAGGCUGAUACCGCCCAAGAGUUCAUAUCGACGGCGGUGUUUGGCACCUCGAUGUCGGCUCAUCACAUCCUGGGGCUGAAGUAGGUCCCAAGGGUAUGGCUGUUCGCCAUUUAAAGUGGUACGCGAGCUGGGUUUAGAACGUCGUGAGACAGUUCGGUCCCUAUCUGCCGUGGGCGCUGGAGAACUGAGGGGGGCUGCUCCUAGUACGAGAGGACCGGAGUGGACGCAUCACUGGUGUUCGGGUUGUCAUGCCAAUGGCACUGCCCGGUAGCUAAAUGCGGAAGAGAUAAGUGCUGAAAGCAUCUAAGCACGAAACUUGCCCCGAGAUGAGUUCUCCCUGAGACUUAGAGUCUCCUGAAGGAACGUUGAAGACGACGACGUUGAUAGGCCGGGUGUGUAAGCGCAGCGAUGCGUUGAGCUAACCGGUACUAAUGAACCGUGAGGCUUAACCUUACAACGCCGAAG